AAGUCGUAACAAGGUAACCGUAGGUGAACCUGCGGUUGGAUCAUUAACAAGAUCUUGUUUGUUUUUGGGUCAUCUAGUGUGUGUGUCUACUUAUUGUGGACCAUGCGUAGGGGAGACUACUCUUCUGGAGGAAAUCCUUUCUUGACCCAAUUCGCAAACUUAUCAACCCUUUGUGCAAUAUUGAUGUUUUUUGGGUUUCUCAUUCAUUCGAUGUUCCUUCCAUUCAUUGGUUGGCCAUUGAUGGGGGAGGCCCAAUAUCUACCAAAAAAACCAUUCCAAUUUGUCUUACAUCUCUAUGAAAAAUAGAAACAACUUUUGACAACGGAUCUCUUGGCUCUC
rnacentral:misc_RNA from 1 species